AAUAGAUACCCAGGUAGUCCACCCCGUAAACGUUGGAACUAGUUGUGGGGUCCAUUCCACGGAUUCCGUGACGCAGCUAACGCAUUAAGUUCCCCGCCUGGGGAGUACGGCCGCAAGGCUAAAACUCAAAGGAAUUGACGGGGACCCGCACAAGCGGCGGAGCAUGCGGAUUAAUUCGAUGCAACGCGAAGAACCUUACCAAGGCUUGACAUAUAGAGGAAACGUCUGGAAACAGUCGCCCCGCAAGGUCUCUAUACAGGUGGUGCAUGGUUGUCGUCAGCUCGUGUCGUGAGAUGUUGGGUUAAGUCCCGCAACGAGCGCAACCCUCGUUCUAUGUUGCCAGCACGUAAUGGUGGGAACUCAUGGGAUACUGCCGGGGUCAACUCGGAGGAAGGUGGGGAUGACGUCAAAUCAGUCAUGCCCCUUAUGUCUUGGGCUUCACGCAUGCUACAAUGGCCGGUACAAAGGGCUGCAAUACCGUGAGGUGGAGCGAAUCCCAAAAAGCCGGUCCCAGUUCGGAUUGAGGUCUGCAACUCGACCUC
rnacentral:rRNA from 1 species